GAAUCACGCUGGCGGCGUGCCUCAGACAUGCAAGUCGAACGCGAAAGUUCCCUUCGGGGAGCAAGUAGAGUGGCGCACGGGUGAGUAACACGUAGGUAAUCUACCUUCGGAUGGGGAAUAACAACCGGAAACGGUUGCUAAUACCGCAUAAUGCAGCGGCGCCUAAUGGUGACAGUUGUUAAAGCGGGGGAUCGCAAGACCUCGCGUCUGAAGAGGAGCCUGCGUCCGAUUAGCUAGUUGGAGAGGUAAAAGCUCACCAAGGCGAUGAUCGGUAACUGGUCUGAGAGGACGACCAGUCACACUGGGACUGAGACACGGCCCAGACUCCUACGGGAGGCAGCAGUGGGGAAUAUUGGACAAUGGGGGCAACCCUGAUCCAGCGAUGCCGCGUGAGUGAAGAAGGCCUUCGGGUCGUAAAGCUCUUUAGGUUGGGAAGAAGGUAGUGAGGGGAUAAUCCUCAUUAUUUGACUGUACCGACAGAAUAAGCACCGGCAAACUCUGUGCCAGCAGCCGCGGUAAUACAGAGGGUGCGAGCGUUAAUCGGAAUAACUGGGCGUAAAGGGCGCGUAGGCGGUGAUGUGAGUGUGAUGUGAAAGCCCCGGGCUUAACCUGGGAAGUGCAUCGCAAACGACAUGACUGGAGUAGAUGAGAGGGUGGCGGAAUUUCCGGUGUAGCGGUGAAAUGCGUAGAGAUCGGAAGGAACGUCGAUGGCGAAGGCAGCCACCUGGCAUCAUACUGACGCUGAGGCGCGAAAGCGUGGGGAGCGAACAGGAUUAGAUACCCUGGUAGUCCACGCUGUAAACGAUGAGUACUAAAGGUUGGUAGGGGAACCUAUCAGUCUUGAAGCUAACGCGAUAAGUAUUCCGCCUGGGAAGUACGGCCGCAAGGUUGAAACUCAAAUGAAUUGACGGGGGCCCGCACAAGCGGUGGAGCAUGUGGUUUAAUUCGAUGCAACGCGAAGAACCUUACCUACCCUUGACAUCCUGCGAAUCCCGAUGAGAGUUGGGAGUGCCGAAAGGAACGCAGAGACAGGUGCUGCAUGGCUGUCGUCAGCUCGUGUUGUGAGAUGUUGGGUUAAGUCCCGUAACGAGCGCAACCCUUGUCCUUAGUUGCCAGCAUUUAGUUGGGGACUCUAAGGAGACUGCCGGUGAGAACCGGAGGAAGGCGGGGACGACGUCAAGUCAUCAUGGCCUUUAUGGGUAGGGCUACACACGUGCUACAAUGGGGCGUACAGAGGGUCGCGAACCUGCGAAGGGGAGCCAAUCUCUUAAAGCGUCUCGUAGUCCGGAUCGGAGUCUGCAACUCGACUCCGUGAAGUUGAAUCGCUAGUAAUCGCGAUCAGCAUGUC
rnacentral:rRNA from 1 species